GAAGUCGUAACAAGGUUUCCGUAGGUGAACCUGCGGAAGGAUCAUUCG
rnacentral:rRNA from 1 species